GAGGCGUCACCCGCCUUUCCGCCUAUUUAACCGGGGGCCCUCCCCCGUCCGCCUUUCUCUUCACAGGCAUCUUCAAGUUUCUCCCUUGUGCCGCUGCCGUUGGUUUGGAGAUGCGACACAGAUGUGAACCGAUGCUCGAUCCCGAACUCCUCGCAGAAAUCACGGAAAUGCUUGUUGUCGAACUGUCGACCAUUAUCCGAGAUGAGGACUCGGGGU
rnacentral:lncRNA from 1 species